UAGGACAAGUCAAGUUGAAUAUAACAUGCUGAGCCUAUAUUCUGAAACAAAUACAUUCUAGGACAAAUUUUUAAAUGAAUCUCAAGUUAUUGAAGAGGUGUGAGGAAAACAGUUUUCCUCUUAACUCAGAAGGGACUGUACUGGAAUGUCAUUAAUAUACUUUGAAAACCUCUUAGAACAUCUUAUUUUUCACUGUCUUCCUGAUUGUAUGGACCAGUCCUCAAUGCAAACAGACUCUUAGACAAUUAAGAAAGGGAUUAGAAGAGAAUGAAUAGGGAGUGGUCAUUUUCUACUCACAUGUUCCAUUUUGCUUAUGUAGCAGGUGAAUUAUUAAGAGAUAUAUUGGUGUCCUGUCUCUUCUUGAUAUUAUAGAUUUGUCACCUAAAGAAUGAAAAGUUGUUUUCCCCUGUAUGCCUUUGUGUUGUAGGUUUCUGGAUUUGUUGUCCCAUGUGUGGAUGGAGCUUUACUCUCAUUCUGUCCAGAAACAGCUUCAUCCAUUAAAGACAGCAGAUCAAUGAGCAAAAUAUUUCUCUCCCCCAUUCUCCAGGCAGGGUAGUCCUAGUUCUGCCACAGUCUAAGAAAGAAGGCAGUUGACUCUGAGAUUGGGUGUCUUAUUAAGCUAGUUGAAUGGCUUCAGUCCUAGCUUUGAUUUGAUUUGUACAAAAGCAAAGUGCUAAGACAUUUCUUGCACCUUGAGUAUUACGGAGUGAGUAAUUGUUAUUGCCUGUGCAAAAUAAUAACAGGGAACAUUCUUAUAUACUCCUGUGUUUGAAAUCUGAUCCACUAGUUUAUAACUAUAAAUAGUGUGUUUUAUUUACUAAAGGAGAACCUGCUGAGUAGCUUUGAGAACUAUGUCUAGAUAUUCAUAUUGCAACAGAAUAAAGGGUGGGGGGAAAAAUGUAUACAUGUAAGGAUAACUUGAUCCCCUUGCUGUACAGUGGGAAAAAAUUUUUCAUUAGGUAGUGAGAGAAACAUUUGAUGUGAUUUUGCCUUUCUAUUCUCUCCCUCCUCUCUCCCUUCUUCCAUUUUCCCUCUAUUGGUUGGGUUGUACCUCUCCAUCUCCCUUUCUAUUUCUAUCUCUCUGUUAGUCCUCAACCCUUAAAACAUAAUAAUAGUUAACAGCGAAUCUUUACUGAGUUUUUAAAUGUGUUCCUAAUAUAAAUUUUACAUGAAUAUUUAGAUAUAAAUGAAUGGUAAAAUGGAAGACAAAGCAAUUGUACUUUGAAGUGUUAUGAAAAAUAAACUUCAGUACACAUUUUAAAGUAUUAAACAUUCAUGAGAGGAAUACCCACUAAUGAUACGCAUGAGAGAAAUAUCCACUAAGGUUAUAUAGGUCUGACUAAACUAAUGGGUCAGCAUAUCAUUUACUAAAUUAGUCCUUUCAUUUGUCCCUUACUCUCUUUAUUCACCAAGCAUAUCUUAUUUAUACUAAUGGUUGUAGCUACAAAACAAAGGAAACUUAGUUUUCAUCCACCACAACCUAUGUUCUGUAGUGACUGUUGCAUUUCCAUGGUGGAGCUCUGUCUCAGAGGUCGCCAACCUGACAUCAGUAUAUCUAAUGCCAAGGUGACAUCUGCCAGCACAGACCUUCACAGCUAAGACUUUACUGACUGCAGUCAAUCAACAGGGUUCACAACUCCCCAUAAUUCUGAGCAACUCUGGAUGUGCCAAACUGCCAUGGCCAUGUCUGGCUGAAAUAUUUUUAUACCCAUGACAGGGCAGAUGUCUCAUUUAAUUGAGAUGCCUUGGAUAGAAAUGGUGCAGGUGGCUUCAAUUAGGUGGGUUCCAGAAUGCAGUCAGCCACAGGCCUCUGGAAUUCUAGAAACACAUGGGCCAGUAGGAACAGCACACACUAAUAAUUGAGUUGAAAGCCCUCCUAUCAGGAAUCAUCUUCAAAAUAAGGAGUAAGUGUCACUUAAAAUGUAUCAAAUGUCUUCUGUUUCUUAGAGGUCAGAAUAGUUGGACAUAAAAUUAUAAAUCUAAUCAUUUCCUUUAAUAUUUGAAUAUGUCACGCUAGUAUUAUCUAACAUUUGUUUAGGCUCACCAGAAAUCUGAUAACAGAAUGAUUCUUAUUCUAUUAUAAGAGGUCUGAUUUUUAAGUCUCUGUAAGUUUUGGGGAUUUUCUUCUCCUUGGAGCUGUGAAAUUUCAUAAAAUGUGUUAGAACUUAUCUAGUCUUCUUGGAAGUAGAUGAGCCAUUUCAGUAUAAGGACUUAUUUUCUUCAGGGUGGUGCAGUUUUUUGUAACAUCUUUGAUUUUCUUCUCUCUUUUAUUAGAUCUAUUUUAUAUUUUGCUUACAUUUUAAUCUGCUUUUACAUUUUUAUACAAAUUUUCAUGAUGUUUUAUCCAUCAGCAUGUCUCUACCCACUUCCUCUCUGCUUUUCCAGUUGAAUCUCUGUUAGGACAUUUUUUAUUGAUUAUCUAUAGUUGAUUUACUCCAUUGCUAUUAGUUUCUAGUGUAUAGCAAAGCGAUUCAGUUAUACAUAUAUACACAUAUUCUUUUUCAUAUUCUUCCAUUAUCAUUUAUUACAGGAUAUGUUCCCUGUGUUAUACAGUGGGAACCUAUUGUUUAUUUACUUUAUUUACACUCAUUUGUAUCUACUAGUCCCAAACUCCUAAUUUAUCCCUCCCCCAUCCCUUUUCCCCUUCAGUAACUCUAAGUUUUUUUUUCUGUCUGUUUUUCUUUUUGUAAAUACAUUCACUUAUGUCAUUUUAGAUUCCGCAUUUAAGUAAUAUCAUAUGGUAUGGGUCUUUCUCUUUCUGACUUACAUGAUAAUCUCUAGUUGCAUCCAUGUUGCUGCAACUGGCAUUAUUACAGUCUUCUUUUUACAGCUGAGUAGUAUUCUUGUGUGUGUGUGUGUGUGUGUGUGUGUGUGUGUGUGAGAGAUGCGCAUACCACAUCUUUAUCCGUUCAUCUAUCAGUGGACAUUUAGGUUGCUUCCAUGUCUUGGCUAUUGCGAAUAGGGCUACUCUGAACAGAGGGGUCAUGUAUCUUUUGAAUUAGAGUUUUCUCCAGAUAUAUGCCUAAGCGUGAGAUUGCUGGAUCAUGUGGAAGCUUUUUUUUUUUUUUUUUAGUUUUUGUUAAGAGACCUCCAUACUGUUUUACAGAGUGGCGGCACCAAUUUAUAUUCCCACCAACAAUGUAGGAGGAUUUCCUUUUCUCCACACCUUCUCCAGCAUUUGUUAUUUGUAGACUUUUUAAUGAUGGCCUUUCUGACUAGUAUAAGGUGGUACCUCAUUGUAGUUUUGAUUUGCAUUUCUCUAGUAAUUAGUGAUGUUGAUUAUCUUUUCAUGAGCCUAUUGGCCAUCUGUAUGUCUUCUUUGGAGAAAAGUCUGUUUAGGUAUUCUGCCCAUUUUUUAUUGGGUCAUUUUGUUGUUGUUACUGAGUUAUAUGAGCUGUUUGUAUAUUUUGGAGAUUAAGCCCUUGUCAUUUGUAUUAUUUACAAAUAUUUUCUCCCAAACUGUAGUUUGUCUUUUUGUUUUGCUUAUGGUUCCCUUUGCUGUGCAAAAGCUUGUAAGGUUGAUCAGGUCCCAUUCAUUUAUUUUUUCCUUUAUUUCUAUUGCCUCAGGAGAUUGACCUAAGAAAAUAUUGGUAUGAUUUACAUCAGAGAAUGUUUUGCCAAUGCUCUCUUCUAGGAGUUUUACAGUAUCAUGUCUUAUGUCCAAGCCUUUAAGCUGUUUUGAGGUUUUUUGUAUGUGUAUGGUGUGAGGAUGUGUUCUUACUUCAUUGAUUUAUGAGUAUCUGUCCAGUUUUCCCAAUACCAUUUGCUGAAUAGACAUUUUUCCACUCUGUAUUUUUGCCUCCCUUAUCAAAGAUUAAUUGACCUUAGGUAUGAGUUUAUUUCACUGAUCCAUAUGUCUGUUUUGUACCAAUACCAUGACAUUUUAAUUACUCCAGCUUAGUAGUAUUGUCUGAAGCCUGGGAGGAUUAUGCUCCUGCUUUGUUCUUUUUCCUUAUGGUUGUUUUGGCAAUUCUGGGUCUUUUAUAGUUCCAUCUAAAUUUUUGGAUUAUUUGUGCUAUAUCUGUGAAAAAUGUGAUGGGUAAUUUGAUAGGGAUUGCAUUAAAUAUGUAGAUUGCUUUGGGUAGUAUGGCCAUUCUAACAAUAUUAAUUCUUCCAAUUCAGGAGCAUGGGCUAUCUUUCCAUUUCCUUGAAUUUUCUGUUAAUUUCCUUUAUUAAUGUUUAAUAGUUCUCAGUUUAUAAAUCUUUCACUUCCUUGGUCAGAUUUAUUUCUAAGUAUUUUUUGGUGCAAUAUUAAAAGGGAUUUUUAAAUUUUCCCUCUUGAAUAUGUCAUUUUUAAUGUAAAGGCAAUGUACUUCUAGGAUUUUUCACUUGGGAUUGGUGGGGGAGUCAGCUAUAGUUUCCUGAACCCUGACUAGCCACUUGAGAUAUACCAUUCUCAGAAAUUUGUUAUAAACCCAUUCACUACAGAUCUCUUUCUUUAUUCUAUUUUCGUCAUUAUUACAGAUUUAUACUCUUCCUUGCACACCUUUACUGUCAAUUCAGUGGGAUUUGGAAAGGGCUGGAGGGGGAUCUUGUAUAGCAAUUUUGCCAUCUUGAACAAAACAGGAUAUGCAUUUUCAAUAACUUAAUUGGAUGAAAAUCCUGCUAGAAAAUCUGGCUUUCUGUCUGAAAUAUAUCCCAAAAGAUCACCAUCAGAGAUAGGAAACAGAAACUACAACCUAAACUUCCACAGAACUGAAUUAAAUAGGAAAUUCUUCUAUUCAAUCCAAUAACUAGAACUUCUAGCAGACCUGCCAAUAGCUAAUAUAGGGUGAGAAUUUUAUUUUGCUUCAGCUUAGUUUUUAGUUCUCUCUUUUAAUGAACAUAUAUAAUCAGUUUGAGUAGGCAGGUUUUAUAGGAUAUAAUUAGAAAUCAUAAUUAUUUCUGUCUUCCACUCUCUCCUUAAAUCUGCUUGGUGAGGGACUCUGUGUUGUG
rnacentral:lncRNA from 1 species